UCAAGUGGUGCAGAUUUCAGGAGAGUUUAAGAAUGUGAAGGAUGCAAUAUACCAUGUAACUGGCAGACUUCGAGAUAACCUUUUCUCCAGUUCAUUGACUAUUCCUGGAACGAGGAGCACUUCUGUAAUAACUGAGACAAGUCCCUAUGGAAGGCUGAGGGAGCCAUUGAGAGAUACAAUGAGGGAUGUAUUGAGGGAUCCAUUGCCAGAUGUAUUGAGGGAUCCAUUGAGGGAUGUGUUGAGGGAGCCGUUAAAGGAUCCAUUGAGAGAUCUGUUGAGGGAUCCAUUAAGAGAUACAUUGAGGGAUCCAUUAAGGGAUACAUUGAGGGAUCCAUUAAGGGAUGUGUUGAAGGAGCCACCGAGGGGUCCCGCCCCUGUUAAUUUGCAUUCAUCCGCUGGUGUGACUCAUACUCUAAAUCGACACGCUACCCUUUCAAGUAUGGAUCAUCAUGGACUUUCCCACGGUUUAGAUCGCCCUCCUUCACCAAGGCUAUGGGCAUCACAGACAAUAGCUGGAGUAAAUCCAAGGGCCAUAACAGAUGCUAGUAGAGGAUUGGCUUCUUUUAAAGGUGGCUUAGAACUUGGCAGUGGAAGCAAGUCUGCUUUUUUGACAAAUACAACUGUAGAGAUUGUAGUUCCUGAAAAUGUUAUUGGCUCUGUAUAUGGGG
rnacentral:misc_RNA from 1 species